CCCUCCUACAAAGGCAUGUCUGUAGUUCCCUGUCUUUGGACACGUAAGAAUUGGAGGAAAAGAAAUGUAGACUUGGAGAAGUCUGGGGCCAGCUUGCUCCAUUGCAGGCUCCAGAUCAACCAUCCAACAGAG